rnacentral:rRNA from 1 species
AAUAUAGCGCAAUUUGCGAGAGCCUGAGGCAGCAACGUCGCGCGAGUGAUGAAGGCCUUCGGGUCGUAAAGAUCUUUGAUUGGGGAUGAUAAUGACAGUACCUGAGAAUCACGCCACGGCUAACGACGGACAAGCAGCCGCGGUAAUACGUAGGUGGCGAGCGUGGUCCGGAAUUACUGGGAGUAAAGGAUGCGUAGGUGGAUACUUAAGUGGGAUGUGAAAUCCCCGGGCUCAACCCGGGAACUGCAUUCCAAACUGGGUAUCUAGAGUACAGGAGAGGAAAGCGGAAUUCCUAGUGUAGCGGUGAAAUGCUUAGAUAUUAGGAGGAACACCAAUGGCGAAGGCGGCUUUCUGGACUGUAACUGACACUGAGGCAUGAAAGCGUGGGUAGCAAACAG